rnacentral:rRNA from 1 species
CCUACGGGCGGCAGCAGUGAGGAAUAUUGGUCAAUGGACGAGAGUCUGAACCAGCCAAGUAGCGUGAAGGAAGACUGCCCUAUGGGUUGUAAACUUUUUUUAUAAAGGAAUAAAACGAGGCACGUCUGCCUUUUUGCAUGUACUUUAUGAAUAAGGAUCGGCUAACUGCGUGCCAGCAGCCGCGGUAAUACGGAGGAUCCGAGCGUUAUCCGGGUUUAGUGGGUUUAAAGGGAGCGUAGAUGGGUUGUUAAGUCAGAUGUGAAAGUUGGCGGCUCAAUCGUAAAAUUGCAAUUGAUACUGGCAGUCUGGAGUACAGUUGAGGUAGGCGGAAUUCGUGGUGUAGCGGUGAAAUGCUUAGAUAUCACGAAGAACCCCGAUUGCGAAGGCAGCUUACUAAACUGUGACUGACAUUGAUGCUCGAAAGUGUGGGUAUCAAACAGGAUUAGAUACCCCAGUAGUC